GAUUGACAAAAAAGGGAGCAGGUGUUCUAACAAGGAAACAGCCCCAGCAAAAUAAGGCAUGUACAUGAAAUACAAGGGCUCAGCAAAGGGACUGAAAUGUUCCCCCUUUGGCCAUAGGAAGUGAACAAUAUGCAAGAAAACUACUUUUGCACACAAAAUAAUUCAGUAAUUCUCUUGAGGAGUACAUAAGGAGUACUUUUACAGAUGGAUGAAUUGGCAGCUCUAUUUUGUUUGGUAAAAGAGAAACCAAAAGGCAAACAUUUUAUUUACUGAUAUUAACUCAGAAGCAACUCCAACCAUGACAUUUUAAUUUUUCUAUACACAUUCUAAGACACAGCGAAGUGGGUUUUUCCCUUACAAAGGACUUUAGAAUGUACAUGAAUAAAUCUUUUCCCUUCUGGGGUAAAAUCUAAUACUUGUUUGGGAAACAAAAUGCGAAAUGCAUCCAGGCUGCUAAAAUUGAAGAAGGAAUGUCAUGUCAGUACUCAUCAGAGCUCUCUGGCUUCCUAGCAUCUUCCUUCCUCUGAGCUUCUCUUCUAAGAAUGAUCCCCUUUUUACCAGUCCUUGGAAAUUCACUUCCUUUCAAAUGACUUAGUUGUAUUUGCAUUCUUUAAGGAGUCUUAGUGUUGGUCUGUGGACAUGCAUUUACUGUUUUCAGGCAUGUGGAUCAAAAAAGCAACACAUUCCCCACAAAGGAUUAUCCCCAGGAUUUUCGUGUCCCUUCUUGUGACCACCAUUCAUAUCCCUGUAUUUCAUGCUGAAAUCAACGAGAGUUCCACAUUCUUCCUGGGACUCUGUAUGGGUCUCGUCAUUCAAGGGCAAAAAUUGCUGGCAAGCUAUAUUAUACACAUGUUUAUAAUCACUGACAUUUGCAUUGCUAUAACUAAAAGAUGCAUUCUUCCUAAACACGUAUAUUGAGGGUGGUUAGAAAAAUCUGUUUUGAGUUAAGCGCCCUCCCUUUGAUAUGUGUUUCCAAUUGCUAACUGGAUGCUGCUUUAAUUUUGUUUGUAGGAAGCUGAACUGACACCAAGCAAAAGCAGCCUGUUGUUUGGACUGUGUCCUACACUUGGCUAUCCCAGAGGGAAGAAGAAAGGAGAGAGAAAAGGAAGCAGCUUGUUUAUGAUGAGGCCGCCUUCCUAUAUCCAGAGCGAGGGUUAUAAAAUAUAAAACAGGACAGCACUGCAAAUAAAUGCAAAGCAGGCUAGAGAACCUCCCCUGCUAUGCUAAACUCUCAAGGACAUGAAAUGGAACCAAACCAGCCACAUACAAAUAAAUGAGACCCGAGGCUACUCCAAAGCUCCCCAGUUUGCACCUGUUCUUGUCUGGUGAGCUAUGCUGAGUAUGUAUCUGGCCUUGGCCUGAUACUCUUUUUGUCUGUUUGUUUUGAUUUUCCUUUUAUCUAUAGUUUACCACUGGAAACAGUGUAGCUGAUUAUAUUUGACUUUAUUGGUGGUCAAGCAUAUGUGAUUUUUGGUCCUUACUCUCUCAUGGGGAUCUAGGACCAAGGUUAAGUCAUUUAAACUUAUAGCAUUUCAACUUUCUCUUCUACAAAACAGAAAUGUCCCCGAUGCUCUCUAGGAUUCUGCAACUUCUAGUCCUAACAUCUGGUCACUUUAAGAAUUUCCCUUAAAUCAUUCCUGUCCCAUCAUAGUGUUUGAUUAUUUACACUCAAUGACAUUGAGAUGAAUGGCCAUGUUUCCUUUUGGCUUUGACGAUGACUAAUGACUUUAUGGCGUGUUUGUUUCUUAGAAAGCUUGAAGGAAGAAUCAUGAGGAUAAUAUUUUGGGUUUUCUGCUGUCUGCGAGCUGGUUUUCUUGCUCUGCUUCAUCAGUCAUUAUGAUUUCGGGAAAGGGGACAGGACAGAUGCCACUUUGGGAUGGAUGAAGUUAUGACACAGGAAGACAUGGGCAUUUAGAGUGGAGACUCGUCCUGAUGUUCUUGACUGAGAACAGAGAAGAGCACCUGGCCUUCAGUUGUAAAAGGACAACUUGGACAAAAGGAAGACUGUGUCAUUCCUCUUAGCCACCCCUGCAGAAGUACCAGAGGCUGCCCCUUACCUGGAGUAUGCCAGCCCUUCAACCAUGCUCCAGAACUUGAAAGGAAAGGUGUUCCGACCUCAGGAACUUAAUGUGCGGGUCUGUCUGAGAUUCUCAUAUCACCUCAAGGAGACUUAGGGCUGCAGUGGCCUGGCUGAACAGAUGCCUCUGGACUUCAGAUGGAAGAAGAAAGCAACAAACUUUCCCAAGCAUCUCUUUUGCCUGGACUGGCCUCCAAGUGUCUCAGAAGCUAUAUAUUUGCAAGGGGUCCUAGGUAACCAUUUGAGAAUUGGGUGAAGGAAAUCCUACUUCAGCUUUUGUUUACUUGAGAAUUUCAGAGAAAAUCCUUCCUUCCAAAAAACACGUCUGAGGCCUGCAGAGUCUGAACAGGAGGAUACUUUGAAAUAAAUCUUACAGUUUUCCUCACCAUAGACCACCAGGUCAGGAAUGUACAUCCUCAAGAUCUUCCAGAGAAUGCAGAUGACGGUGCUUGGGGUGCACAAAGAAUUGAUGGUUGCCAGCGGUGCACAGAGGAGAAGCCAACACCCGGGAGGUUAGGCCUUGGGUCAGCCAUUUCUGGAGUUGACAGUUACUAGGUGGAGCUAUGCAAAUUUGCCAUUUUGAUAGUUUAAAUAUGUCAAAUAGCAGUUUCAUAUGAUUGGACCCACAGCGUCUCCUCCAUCUUACUAUUACUAUUAUCUGGAUGGGAAAGUGGCCAACCAGUGUGGUUUGCCUGGGACUGUCCCAGUUUUAGCCCUGGAAGAUCACAUCUAGGGAAAAGCUUCUGUCUUGGAACAACUAGAGGGUUUGCUCACUCUGCUGGGAGACCAGGUUCAAGGUCUCCAGCUUGGUGUCCUAUGUACACCCCCUGCACCAUUAUGGCUAUCCUAAUGAGGCUAAACAUAAUUAUGGUCACUAGGUGUCAAACAUCGUAUCUGACUUCAUCUAGUCCUCAAAAUGGCCCUUGGGGGCCCAGAGAACUCACGUGGCUUCCCCAAGCUUUCCUGUGUGGUGGGGGUGGAGCUUUCCCCCCACUCUGAACCUCAGCACCUGUUCUGUGCCAGCCACUACCCCAGGCCCUGGGAUUAGAGUGGUCAGGAGACGGACCAGGCUAAUGCUACCAGAAACAGAAAAAUGCAAAGCGACUCCUGUUUAGUCUUUGGGUAGAAUUCCUUUAAAUGCAGAGCCUUGAACUUCAGUCUCUUGCUGGGUUUGUGGACACAGAGCAGCUCAGAGGUGCUGUGUUUCUGAGGGUUGGGUGCAUGGACAGGGUGAGCAGAGUUAGACCCUGCUUAUAACGAAACCCUCAGGGUUGAUUCCACUCUCAUAUUUAAGUGGAAGUUGUAAGAUUGAGGUUCCAUUCUCCAUCUGGACUGCAUGUCAGGCAGGCACUGGCCAAGGGAGCCCAUUGGUCACAACCAGGUGAGACAGAUAAAGGUGAGACCCCGGCCGGAAAGUAGGGCACAGCUGAGCCCCAUGCUCAAAUAUUCUGGAUAAACACAUGCAUUAAUCUUUCCUUAGGAUUCUUUUUCUGUGGGCUGCUGCUCUUAUGAACAGCUUUCCUUGGUGUUACUGGUAUAUAAUAUUUUACUGAAAAAGAAAACUUGUCAGAGCAAAAAAACAAUUCUUUCGAAAACAGCCAGCAAGCUCCUGACAUUGAUUAGCUGUGUUCCUCCAACUGGGAGGUCACCUUGCUGUGGACCACAGCCCAUGUGAGAAGCCACAGCACAAAACAGAGAGCAUCUCUGGGAGAAACUAUUUUACCUGAAGAUUUAAGGAAUUUUCUCAGAUUUAGAAAAAGGUAGAGUUGAAAAUUCUUAUAAAUGCUUAAUAUAAAACAUGCAGAAUUAACAAUUUUGGAGUUACUUCAGGGUCUGUCGCUGGACUGUUGGCAUAGAGUUCAAGUUUGAGGGGCACAGACUGAAGUAAUAAGUCACAGGAACCUGUGCUCACAUGUCCUACAAUUAGCCUCUGAACUUGGUUUCAUCUUGAUGUUCUCUGUAAUUGUUUUUUCUUUUGUCAUGUGAGCCACUAAAAAUGUGGAAUCCAUUUUAUAGAGACAAGCUACUUUUAAUCAAAAAUUGUAAGGCACUGUGAGUGAUCAAACAUAUGAUUACAAUUUUCUGAGUAGAUUUUGGAUACCAGGCUUUGAAAGCAUUUUUUAAUGUCUACAUCAUAGUAGAGGCUUGAAUUAAAUUACUUUAUACUUCAUAAUCAUUGUCGUUUUGUCUCUAACAUUAUGUAAAUUGACAU